rnacentral:rRNA from 1 species
AUGCAGCGACGCCGCGUGAGUGAAGAAGUAUUUCGGUAUGUAAAGCUCUAUCAGCAGGGAAGAAGAUGACGGUACCUGAGUAAGAAGCCCCGGCUAACUACGUGCCAGCAGCCGCGGUAAUACGUAGGGGGCAAGCGUUAUCCGGAUUUACUGGGUGUAAAGGGAGCGCAGACGGCUAUGCAAGUCUGAAGUGAAAGCCCGGGGCUCAACCCCGGGACUGCUUUGGAAACUGUGUAGCUAGAGUGUCGGAGAGGUAAGCAGAAUUCCCAGU